UGGGGGAUAUUGCACAAUGGGCGAAAGCCUGAUGCAGCGACGCCGCGUGGGGGAUUAAGGCUUUCGGGUUGUAAACCUCUUUCGCUAUCGAACAAGGCCCGCUUAGGGUGGGUUGAGGGUAGGUGGAGAAGAAGCGCCGGCUAACUACGUGCCAGCAGCCGCGGUAAUACGUAGGGCGCGAGCGUUGUCCGGAAUUAUUGGGCGUAAAGGGCUUGUAGGCGGCUUGUUGCGCCUGCUGUGAAAACGCGGGGCUUAACUUCGCGCGUGCAGUGGGUACGGGCAGGCUUGAGUGUGGUAGGGGUGACUGGAAUUCCAGGUGUAGCGGUGGAAUGCGCAGAUAUCUGGAGGAACACCGAUGGCGAAGGCAGGUCACUGGGCCAUUACUGACGCUGAGGAGCGAAAGCAUGGGUAGCGAACAGG
rnacentral:rRNA from 1 species